CACGUAGGGUGCGAGCGUUGUCCGGAAUUAUUGGGCGUAAAGAGCUCGUAGGCGGUGUGUCGCGUCGGCCGUGAAAACCUGCAGCUUAACUGUGGGCUUGCGGUCGAUACGGGCAUCACUGGAGUUCGGCAGGGGAGACUGGAAUUCCUGGUGUAGCGGUGAAAUGCGCAGAUAUCAGGAGGAACACCGGUGGCGAAGGCGGGUCUCUGGGCCGUAACUGACGCUGGAGGAGCGAAAAGCCGUGGGGAGCGAACAGG
rnacentral:rRNA from 1 species